UACAGAGGUCUCAAGCGUUGUUCGGAUUCAUUGGGCGUAAAGGGUGCGUAGGUGGCGCGGUAAGUCGGGUGUGAAAUCUCGGAGCUUAACUCCGAAACUGCAUUCGAUACUGCCGUGCUUGAGGACUGGAGAGGAGACUGGAAUUCCUGGUGUAGCGGUGAAAUGCGCAGAUAUCAGGAGGAACACCGGUGGCGAAGGCGGGUCUCUGGGCAACAACUGACGCUGAGGAGCGAAAGCGUGGGGAGCGAACAGG
rnacentral:rRNA from 1 species